AAGGGCUGCCCACCACACCAGGGAGUUGCACCUUAGACCAUGCCACUCAGCUACAGAAAUGACCUUGCCAUGCCAGGGACAAACACCUUACACUACACUACUCAGCAGCAGGGCCAUACGGUGCAGAGAGGACCUGCCGACGCCGGA